rnacentral:rRNA from 1 species
UACGUAGGGCGCGAGCGUUGUCCGGAAUUAUUGGGCGUAAAGAGCUCGUAGGCGGCUUGUCACGUCGGGUGUGAAAGACCGGGGCUUAACUCCGGUUCUGCAUUCGAUACGGGCUAGCUAGAGUGUGGUAGGGGAGAUCGGAAUUCCUGGUGUAGCGGUGAAAUGCGCAGAUAUCAGGAGGAACACCGAUGGCGAAGGCAGGUCUCUGGGCCACUACUGACGCUGAGAAGCGAAAGCAUGGGGAGCGAACAGG